AAGAAGUAUAAGGAAAAAGUCCCAGAAGCCUUAAACAAAACGUUCUCGGAUCGAAUUUCCAAAACUGAGGCAAUCCAACAGCAUUUGGAUAGGAAACAACUUUCUUCAACACCAUUGUUUCCCACAUAUCAACAGCAAGAUGUACUGCAAAAAAAAGGUUUAGACAAAGAAAAACAAGCUGCUUCAACAGGUUCUUCAGAUCCAAAAAAACGCGCUUAUGCAAAAAUUGUGGACAGCCAAUGAAAGGACAUCCAAAAAGUCAUUGUCCACAAGAAUUACUUGACAAAUAUUCUUAGCAGGCCAACUUUAAAGUUAGUUAUAAAAUAAUAUACUAUGCU